rnacentral:rRNA from 1 species
GACGAACGCUGGCGGCGUGCUUAACACAUGCAAGUCGAACGGAAAGGCCCCUUUGGGGGUACUCGAGUGGCGAACGGGUGAGUAACACGUGAGUAACCUGCCCUUGACUUCGGGAUAACUUCAGGAAACUGGGGCUAAUACCGGAUAGGAAUCCUUGCUGCAUGGUGGGGGUUGGAAAGCUUCGGCGGUUUUGGAUGGACUCGCGGCUUAUCAGCUUGUUGGUGGGGUAGUGGCUUACCAAGGCUUUGACGGGUAGCCGGCCUGAGAGGGCGACCGGCCACAUUGGUACUGAGAUACGGCCCAGACUCCUACGGGAGGCAGCAGUGGGGAAUAUUGCACAAGGGGCGGAAGCCUGAUGCAGCAACGCCGCGUGCGGGAUGACGGCCUUCGGGUUGUAAACCGCUUUCAGCAGGGGCGAAGCUUGUGGUGACGGUACCUGCAGAAGAAGCACCGGCUAACUACGUG